GGAUUGCUCUAGGCUGGCACAGGCCCCUCUGGAGAGCUGUUGCAUGAGUUAUGACCCAGAGCUAACAGAAAGCAGUGGCUCUGCAUCACACAUAGACUGCAGAAUGAGCCCCUGGAGUGAAUGGUCACAAUGCGAUCCUUGUCUCAGACAAAUGUUUCGUUCAAGAAGCAUUGAGGUCUUUGGACAAUUUAAUGGGAAAAGAUGCACCGACGCUGUGGGAGACAGACGACAGUGUGUGCCCACAGAGCCCUGUGAGGAUGCUGAGGAUGACUGCGGAAAUGACUUUCAAUGCAGUACAGGCAGAUGCAUAAAGAUGCGACUUCGGUGUAAUGGUGACAAUGACUGCGGAGACUUUUCAGAUGAGGAUGAUUGUGAAAGUGAGCCCCGUCCCCCCUGCAGAGACAGAGUGGUAGAAGAGUCUGAGCUGGCACGAACAGCAGGCUAUGGGAUCAACAUUUUAGGGAUGGAUCCCCUAAGCACACCUUUUGACAAUGAGUUCUACAAUGGACUCUGUAACCGGGAUCGGGAUGGAAACACUCUGACAUACUACCGAAGACCUUGGAACGUGGCUUCUUUGGUCUAUGAAACCAAAGGCGAGAAAAAUCUCAGAACUGAACAUUACGAAGAACAAAUUGAAGCAUUUAAAAGUAUCAUCCAAGAGAAGACAUCAAAUUUUAAUGCAGCUAUAUCUCUAAAAUUUACACCCACUGAAACAAAUAAAGCUGAACAAUGUUGUGAGGAAACAGCCUCCUCAAUUUCUUUACAUGGCAAGGGUAGUUUUCGGUUUUCAUAUUCCAAAAAUGAAACUUACCAACUAUUUUUGUCAUAUUCUUCAAAGAAGGUAAGA
rnacentral:sRNA from 1 species